AUGAAGAGUAAGAAUACUGGCACUACUGAUUUGAGAGCUUUCAUGAAAAGAGUUGCUGCAAAAAGAAAACAACCUGAACCAACGAGUGCUACCCCAUCUUCCAAUGAAAGUCAGAUGCAAUUGGUAAUUUUUGAAGGGCAAAGUGGUAGUGAGACACACACAAUACCACCUGAACCCGAGAGAGCUCCUGACACAGAGGCCCCAAUAGCAGAAGAUGAUGAUGAAUCUAUGGCCCUAGAUGAAUCUGAUUCUAGUGAUGAGGAUAGUGAUGAUGACAUUUAUAACAUCGAGCCUGAUCCUGGGUUGAGGACUCCUAUCUCAAGCUAUGAUGUUAAUGAACAAGAUUUAGUUAGAAGGGCCUACAUUGCAUUGGGAUGA
rnacentral:rRNA from 1 species